rnacentral:tRNA from 1 species
GGGCUCGUAGAUCAGGGGUAGAUCGCAACGUUCGCAACGUUGAGGCCGCGGGUUCGAAUCCCGCCGGGUCCA